rnacentral:rRNA from 1 species
CCUAGUAGUCGUCGAGUCGUAAGCGGGAAGAGCUCAAAUUUAUAAUCUGGCACCUUCGGUGUCCGAGUUGUAAUCUCUAGAAAUGUUUUCCGCGUUGGACCGCACACAAGUCUGUUGGAAUACAGCGGCAUAGUGGUGAGACCCCCGUAUAUGGUGCGGACGCCCAGCGCUUUGUGAUACAUUUUCGAAGAGUCGAGUUGUUUGGGAAUGCAGCUCAAAUUGGGUGGUAAAUUCCAUUAAGCUAAAAUAUUGGCGAGAGACUCGAUAGCGAACAAGUACCGUGAUGGGAAAGAUGAAAAGCACUUUGGAAAGAGAGUUAACAGUACGUGAAAUUGUUGGAAGGGAAACGCUUGAAGUCAGACUUGCUUGCCGAGCAAUCGGUUUGCAGGCCAGCAUCAGUUUUCCGGGAUGGAUAAUGGUAGAGAGAAGGUAGCAGUGUUCGGCUGUGUUAUAGCUCUCUGCUGGAUACAUCUUGGGGGACUUUACCAACGCAGGUGCCUUUGGCGGGUUUCUCAACCUCACAGCUAGAUGCUGUGAUGCUUG